ACAAAAUUGAAUGCUUUUCGUAUAAUUCCGGGGAUUGGCCCGGAAGUUUCUACGAGGUCACCGUAAUGAUCUGGCUACGAAAAGA
rnacentral:ncRNA from 1 species